GGAGGGAGGAGGAAUUAGAGAAGGUGGUCAAAAGGUAUAAACUACCAGUUAUAAGAUAAAUAAGGUCUAGGAAUGUAUCGUCUGACUACAGGUAGCACUGCUGUGUGACCUACAGGGAAGUUAAAAGAGGAAGCUCCAGAGUCCUCAUCAUAAGGAGCAAAAUUUUUUUUCCUUUCUUCUUCUUUCUUUUCUUUUUAUUGUAUCCAUAUGAGAAGUGGCCAUUAGCCGAAUCGAUUGUAGUGAUCAUUUCACAAUCCAUGUAAAUCAAAUCAUCAUGCUGUACGCCUUACACUUCUACAGUAAGGGGCCUCCAGCUGUUGCUGUCAGUCAAAUCGCCAGUAUUUCCUUUCUGGGAGUACAUUUUUUCCUGAAGCAGCAUUUUAGCACCAGAUUAGCACCUGAUGCAUUAGUGCUUUUUAUCACCUAGCAAUAUUUGCCAUCCAAAGGGCUGAGCAACACAGUUACCAUCGCUCAGGCUACAUUUGUUUCCUGCUUGCAGGCCGGUGUCUCGCUGCAACCUGCACUUGAACCACACAAAAUGGCCCUAAGCAAGAAAGUGAAGCACUAUUAAAGGUCAGAAAUUCU
rnacentral:lncRNA from 1 species